rnacentral:rRNA from 1 species
CCUACGGGUGGCAGCAGUGGGGAAUAUUGCACAAUGGGGGAAACCCUGAUGCAGCGACGCCGCGUGAGUGAAGAAGUAUUUCGGUACGUAAAGCUCGAUCAGCAGGGAAGAAAAUGACGGUACCUGACUAAGAAGCCCCGGCUAACUACGUGCCAGCAGCCGCGGUAAUACGUAGGGGGCAAGCGUUAUCCGGAUUUACUGGGUGUAAAGGGAGCGUAGACGGCAGCGCAAGUCUGGAGUGAAAUCCCAUGGCUUAACCAUGGAACUGCUUUGGAAACUGUGCAGCGAGAGUGCAGGAGAGGUAAGCGGAAUGCCUAGUGUAGCGGUGAAAUGCGUAGAUAUUAGGAGGAACACCAGUGGCGAAGGCGGCUUACUGGACUGUAACUGACGUUGAGGCUCGAAAGCGUGGGGAGCAAACAGGAUUAGAUACCCCUGUAGUC